rnacentral:rRNA from 1 species
CCUACGGGAAGCAGCAGUGGGGAAUCUUGCGCAAUGGGCGAAAGCCUGACGCAGCCAUGCCGCGUGAAUGAUGAAGGUCUUAGGAUUGUAAAAUUCUUUCACCGGGGACGAUAAUGACGGUACCCGGAGAAGAAGCCCCGGCUAACUUCGUGCCAGCAGCCGCGGUAAUACGAAGGGGGCUAGCGUUGCUCGGAAUUACUGGGCGUAAAGGGAGCGUAGGCGGAUAGUUUAGUCAGAGGUGAAAGCCCAGGGCUCAACCUUGGAAUUGCCUUUGAUACUGGCUAUCUUGAGUACGGAAGAGGUAUGUGGAACUCCGAGUGUAGAGGUGAAAUUCGUAGAUAUUCGGAAGAACACCAGUGGCGAAGGCGACAUACUGGUCCGUUACUGACGCUGAGGCUCGAAAGCGUGGGGAGCAAACAGGAUUAGAUACCCUGGUAGUCCACGCUGUAAACGAUGAGUGCUAGUUGUCGGCAUGCAUGCAUGUCGGUGACGCAGCUACGACAUAAGUACACUCCGCCGUCGGGAGGUACGGUCGCGAAGAAGUUAAACUAACUAAAUUAGAAGUUAGUUACGGCGUGAGACGNGCCGACGGACGACGACGAGGGAGGAGG